rnacentral:rRNA from 1 species
AACGAACGCUGGCGGCAGGCCUAACACAUGCAAGUCGAGCGAGGACUUCGGUCCUAGCGGCGGACGGGUGAGUAACGCGUGGGAACGUGCCCUUUGCUUCGGAAUAGCCCUGGGAAACUGGGAGUAAUACCGGAUGAGCCCUUUGGGGGAAAGAUUUAUCGGCGAAGGAUCGGCCCGCGUUGGAUUAGGUAGUUGGUGGGGUAAUGGCCUACCAAGCGGACGAUCCAUAGCUGGUUUGAGAGGAUGACCAGCCACACUGGGAGUGGGACACGGCCCAGACUCCUGCGGGAGGCAGCAGGGGGGAAUCUUAGACGAUGGGGGAAACCCUGAUCGAGCCAUGCCGCGAGAGCGAUGAAGGCCUGAGGGUUGUAAAGCUCUUUCAGCUGGGAAGAUAAUGACGGUACCAGCAGAAGAAGCCCCGGCUAACUCCGUG